rnacentral:rRNA from 1 species
GACGAACGCCGGCGGCGUGCUUAACACAUGCAAGUCGAACGGAAAGGCCCUGCUUUUGUGGGGUGCUCGAGUGGCGAACGGGUGAGUAACACGUGAGUAACCUGCCCUUGACUUUGGGAUAACUUCAGGAAACUGGGGCUAAUACCGGAUAGGAGCUCCUGCUGCAUGGUGGGGGUUGGAAAGUUUCGGCGGUUGGGGAUGGACUAGCGGCUUAUCAGCUUGUUGGUGGGGUAGUGGCUUACCAAGGCUUUGACGGGUAGCCGGCCUGAGAGGGUGACCGGCCACAUUGGGACUGAGAUACGGCCCAGACUCCUACGGGAGGCAGCAGUGGGGAAUAUUGCACAGUGGGCGGAAGCCUGAUGCAGCAACGCCGCGUGCGGGAUGACGGCCUUCGGGUUGUAAACCGCUUUCGCCUGUGACGAAGCGUGAGUGACGGUAAUGGGUAAAGAAGCACCGGCUAACUACGUG